GGUCUUUGGCCGUCCGAGUUGUAUUCUGGAGAAGUGCUUUCCGCGCUGGACCGUGUAUAAGUCUCUUGGAACAGAGCGUCAUAGAGGGUGAGAAUCCCGUCUUUGACACGGACUACCAGUGCUUUGUGAUGCGCUCUCAAAGAGUCGAGUUGUUUGGGAAUGCAGCUCAAAUGGGUGGUAAUC
rnacentral:rRNA from 1 species